GAUGAACGCUGGCGGCGUGCCUAAUACAUGCAAGUCGAGCGAACAGAUGAGGAGCUUGCUCCUCUGACGUUAGCGGCGGACGGGUUAGUAACACGUGGAUAACCUACCUAUAAGACUGGGAUAACUUCGGGAAACCGGAGCUAAUACCGGAUAAUAUAUUGAACCGCAUUGUUCAAUAGUGAAAGACGGUUUUGCUGUCACUUAUAGAUGGAUCCGCGCCGCAUUAGCUAGUUGGUAAGGUAACGGCUUACCAAGGCAACGAUUCGUAGCCGACCUGAGAGGGUGAUCGGCCACACUGGAACUGAGACACGGUCCAGACUCCUACGGGAGGAAGCAGUAGGGAAUCUUCCGCAAUGGGCGAAAGCCUGACGGAGCAAAGCCGCGUGAGUGAUGAAGGUCUUCGGAUCGUAAAACUCUGUUAUUAGGGAAGAACAAAUGUGUAAGUAACUAUGCACGUCUUGACGGUACCUAAUCAGAAAGCCACGGCUAACUACGUG
rnacentral:rRNA from 1 species